AACAGCAGGGCUUCCUCUGCUCACAUGGGGUCGCGACCACCACAGAGGAAGUUAUUUUAGGCUUUGUCUUUCUUGGAGAAAGGCAGUGUGCAAUCAGCUGAUUUGGUUCAUUCAGUGUCACACAAGGGAUUUAUGUAAGAACCAGAAAGAAAUAUCAGGGUUUCUUAUAACCAAUCUAAGCCUCUCUCUAUGAUAUUCCACAGUGGAGCUGAACAAUUAUAUUGAAUUGAAGAAAAGCUUUAUGACAGUUGCCCACUAUGAAUCCUUUUCCCCUCUCCUUAGCUCUAAUUUAAAGGCCAGAGGCUGCACAAGGCUGCCCUGUUCCGAGUGAAAGCGACACAUAAGGGCCACACAACAGAGGACCCUUCUCCUCCAGAGCCCCUUACACUGAAGUGGGGAACAAGAAGAACGUGUGGACAAUCAGGUCACUCUGAUCGCUGAUGAGUAAGACAGCGAGGAAACCCAGGCAGGGCUAGGGUUGGACUGCACAGGGAAUGUGGCUGCUGUAAGACCUUCAAGACCUCCUCACAAGGUCACGAGAGUGUACAGAGGACAUGCUGUGAGAAGUAACAUCUGCCUGAGACCUGAAUAUGGGGAAGAGUUGGGCACGUGAAGCCUGCAGCCUCCUUGCUGUACGAUGAUAGUGUUCCACAGAAGCCAUAGCUGUCUGGUGUCAUUCAACAGAGCUGCCACCCCUCUGGCUUAGAGGGUCUAUCUCAACAAGGCUGCAGCUGGCCCAGCAGGAAAAGGAACAUCUGUUUAAAAGCCCAGCUGCCCAUGCAGGCAUUAGUUGAUAAUACAUGGAAAUGAAGAGCUCAGGAAAUAAGCCUGAGUUCCAAUCCUGAUUGCCUACGCCACAUUUUAGCUGCUUAAUC